rnacentral:rRNA from 1 species
CGGGGAGGUAGUGACGAAAAAUAACAAUACGGGACUCAUCCGAGGCCCCGUAAUUGGAAUGACUACAAUUUAAAUCCUUUAAGAAGGAUCCAUUGGAGGGCAAGUCUGGUGCCAGCAGCUGCGGUAACUCCAGCUCCAAUAGCGUAUAUUAAAGUUGCUGCAGUUAAAAAGCUCGUAGUUGGAUCUCAGUUACAGACAGGUGGUUCACUUUACAGUGCUACUAGCUGAACUGAACUUGAUUGCUGGAUCUCUUGGGUGCCCUUCACUGGGUGCCCCUUGAGACCAGAAGGUUUACUUUGAGAAAAUUAGAGUGCUCAAAGCAGGCGAAUGCUUGAAUAGUUGUGCAUGGAAUAAUGAAACACGGCCUUGGUACUGUUUUGUUGGUUCACGGUAUCGAGGUAAUGGUUGAAAGGGACUGACGGGGGCAUUCGUAUUGCGACGUUAGAGGUGAAAUUCUUAGAUCGUCGCAAGACGGACUACUGCGAAAGCAUUUGCCAAGAAUGUCUUCAUUAAUCAAGAACGAAAGUCAGAGGUUCGAAGGCGAUCAGAUACCGCCCUAGUUCUGACCUUAAACGAUGCUAACUGGCGAUCUGGUGGGGGUAUUUAAAUGACCCCCCAGGCAGCUUCUGGGAAACCAAAGUUUUUGGGUUCCGGGGGUAGUAUGGUUGCAAAGCUGGAACUUAAAGGAAUUGACGGAAGGGCACCACCAGGAGUGGAGCCUGUGGCUUAAUUUGACUCAACACGGGAAACCUCACCAGGCCCAGACACUAGAAGGAUUGACAGAUUGAGAGCUCUUUCUUGAUUUGGUGGAUGGUGGUGCAUGGCCGUUCUUAGUUGGUGGAGUGAUUUGUCUGGUUAAUUCCGAUAACGAACGAGACUUUAGCCUACUAAAUAGAUGGCGAAUAUUGGAAGGUUCGCUUC